rnacentral:rRNA from 1 species
AUUGAACGCUGGCGGCAUGCUUUACACAUGCAAGUCGAACGGUAACAGGGAGCUUGCUCCGCUGACGAGUGGCGAACGGGUGAGUAAUGCGUCGGAACGUGCCGAGUAGUGGGGGAUAACGCAUCGAAAGGUGUGCUAAUACCGCCUACGAACUGAGGUUGAAAGUGGGGGACCUUCGGGCCUCACGCUAUUCGAGCGGCCGACGUCUGAUUAGCUAGUUGGCGAGGUAAAGGCUCACCAAGGCGACGAUCAGUAGCGGGUCUGAGAGGAUGAUCCGCCACACUGGGACUGAGACACGGCCCAGACUCCUACGGGAGGCAGCAGUGGGGAAUUUUGGACAAUGGGCGCAAGCCUGAUCCAGCCAUGCCGCGUGUCUGAAGAAGGCCUUCGGGUUGUAAAGGACUUUUGUCCGGGAGCAAAUGCUGGUGGCUAACAUCCACCGGAGCUGAGAGUACCGGAAGAAUAAGCACCGGCUAACUACGUGCCAGCCGCCGCCGUAACAC